CUUUCUUAUCUCAGGACAUUGCAUUCACAACACAUUCUGCAAUCAUUCUUGAGAACUCUAAGUGAGAAAAUGGGGAGAAACGGGUUGGUCUAAGGUCACCCAGAGAAUUAUUCUCCAGUCAACAUAUUUCAGUAUAUCUGCAGCAAGAUCAUAUUUCAAGUGUGCUGGUAGAGCUUCUCCUUUGAUGGAAACAUUUGUUAUACAGUUCUGCUUCCUUCACUUGCAGAGAGUUGUUGUUAUGAUGAGUCUCCAAUGAACCUGCUGCAUCCCUGCUGCAUAUCUAUUAUCUGGGGUAAUCUUCCUAAAAAGCAGAGUGUCAAGCAGCAUGCCUGGUUAUUCCAACUUAUGCAGAAAUAGAAGUGUCCUAAGCUUGGGGCAAGAUGGCCGACUAGACACAGCAAGUGGAAUUACCGCCAGCAAGGGACUGAGACAACUGGCGCACUCCUAACAAAUCAUCCGAUGGAAGGCACCAGGAGUGGCCGAGGGAAGACACAGAAGGAAGCUGGGCUGAAACAGGAGGAACAUUGCACUGGGCUACCAUGCGCUGGGACUUGUUCCUGGCCCCCAAGGACUCUCAGGGAAUGGAUCUAACGGUGGGAACCUAAGUCACACAACUACAAAAUUUAAAUACAAUGGGAAUAAUUGGAUGCUGAGGUGGUAGGCACCAAGUGACAGCACUCAACUAUCAACCUCAAGGUCAUCCUACAUUGGCCAAAGGAAUAAAGAAGAAUGACAGGGUUAAUGAUGGAUAUUUGAAUUAUUCUGAUUUUUCUGACGUGCAAGGUGUAGAUUCCUUUUGUUAGUCAUUCAAACCAACAGCAGCUUUAAGUAUGUAAUUUGUGAUAUCUAAUUAAUCAGUCAUUCAUAUCCAAGGUUAUAAAAACUCAUACUGUACAA
ensembl:lncRNA LINC01687 long intergenic non-protein coding RNA 1687